rnacentral:miRNA from 1 species
AAAGAAGGGUAGGAGUUGAGUA